ensembl:lncRNA
GGACAGGUAGAGGUUUAUAAUUCAGAGCCCAGGGUGGACAGGUAGAGGUUUAUAAUUCAGAGCCCAGGAUGGACAGGUAGAGGUUUAUAAUUCAGAGCCCAGGGUGGACAGGUAGAGGUUUAUAAUUCAGAGCCCAGGAUGGACAGGUAGAGGUUUAUAAUUCAGAGCCCAGGAUGGACAGGUAGAGGUUUAUAAUUCAGAGCCCAGGAUGGUGCACCUGGCUGUGACAUACAUUACAUGACCAAAAGUAUGUGGACAACUGCUCGUUGAACAUCUCAUUCUAAGAUUGAGCAUUAAUAUGGAGGAGGUCCCC